rnacentral:rRNA from 1 species
CGAUGAUACGCGAGGAACCUUACCUGGGCUCGAACGUAAGAUGACUGUAGGUGAAAAGCUUACAUCUCUUCGGAGCAUUUUACGAGGUGCUGCAUGGUUGUCGUCAGCUCGUGCCGUGAGGCGUCGGGUUAAGCCCCAUAACGAGCGCAACCCCUACCUUUAGUUGCCAUCAGGUUAAGCUGGGGACUCUAAAGGAACUGCCUACGCAAGUAGUGAGGAAGCGGGGAUGACGUCAAAUCAGCACGGCCCUUACGUCCAGGGCUACACACGUGCUACAAUGGCCGAUACAGAGGGCAGCUACCUGGUGACAGGAUGCAAAUCUCCAAAGUCGGUCUCAGUUCGGAUCGGAGUCUGCAACCCGACUCCGUGAAGUUGGAUUCGCUAGUAAUCGCGCAUCAGCCAUGGCGCGGUGAAUACGUUCCCGGGCCUU